ACUGCUAAUCUCUUCAGAUUUUGUUAUUUUAUUAGAAUUUCAUAUGAAAUAUCUGGUAAGCUAGAUUUUCAAAAUUUUUGACUUUUACCACUUUCAAAAUCAAGGGUUCAUUUGUCUCUCUUACUAGAAACGAGCGCAUAGCGCGAGCAGCCUGUUGUGUUGUAAUAAGAGUGUUUAGGGUAUCCCCUAGUUGGUAGCUCCCGUGUAGCACCUCCUGAGGUUAUAAUAUAAUUUUGCUAAAGCUACGAAAAGUUUUGUACUCAGUGUUGUUUUUAAAACAAAAUUUACAUUUUAUGAAUUGUGUUGAAAGUUUUUUCAUGACCAGUUCUGUUAAAGAACAUUAAAUAAAUCUUUGGUUUAAGGCCCAAGUUUGAUUUUCUAGCUUUCAUUUCGCUACAUUUAAAAUACGUUUUAAAAUAUCUUUGUAAAAUAUAACCUGAGAAGUGGAGGCUGAAAAAUAUGGGUGAACUUUAUAUUUCCUCGAAGGCUGAAGCUUACGAAGCUGAAAUUUUGACUGAAACUCUAACGUCUCAAAACACGAACAUAAGAAAUUGUAUUCCUUAAAUGCACAAUUUUAUGGAUGAGUGGUGCAAAUUUUAUCGGCUUGACCAAAACGCAAAAUCCAAUCCAAAACGAUAUAUCGUACAACUAAUCUGGAACUCAACAGGACCGGCAAUCCAGUAUGUCCAUGAUUGUGGGGCAUCGCAUAGAUUAAUUUUCUCCAAAACUGGGGAUCAUCACGUCGCAAAUACGUAUUUAAUUUCAUGUAGGUUUCCAGGUCGUUAAAAUCUUCGACUUCUGGAUAAAUAUAUAUUGUCUUUGGUAAUUGCAUC